AGCGAACGCUGGCGGCAGGCCUAACACAUGCAAGUCGAACGAACUCUUCGGAGUUAGUGGCGGACGGGUGAGUAACACGUGGGAACGUGCCUUUAGGUUCGGAAUAACUCAGGGAAACUUGUGCUAAUACCGAAUGUGCCCUUCGGGGGAAAGAUUUAUCGCCUUUAGAGCGGCCCGCGUCUGAUUAGCUAGUUGGUGAGGUAAAGGCUCACCAAGGCGACGAUCAGUAGCUGGUCUGAGAGGAUGAUCAGCCACAGUGGGACUGAGACACGGCCCAAACUCCUACGGGAGGCAGCAGUGGGGAAUCUUGCGCAAUGGGCGAAAGCCUGACGCAGCCAUGCCGCGUGAAUGAUGAAGGUCUUAGGAUUGUAAAAUUCUUUCACCGGGGACGAUAAUGACGGUACCCGGAGAAGAAGCCCCGGCUAACUUCGUG
rnacentral:rRNA from 1 species